GCCAAGCGCAACCACUACUAUCAGUAACAAUGUCAAAGCUGUGCAAAAAAGUCUGCAAACAUCGCCGGUGUUUACAAUACCGCUUUACCGGGCAUGUACACGUUAAAUUACCGCUUAUUGUGAUUCGCUUGUGGGCGUGCUGGCAGUAUUUUGACCGUGCGUAAAAAAUUCAGCAUAGUAAGUUUGUAUGAAGGUCUGAUUAUUAAAUGAGUUAAUAGUUCAAUAGUAAUAUCCUCAAACGCUCUGGUGACAAACUUUGCUACCCUGUUUCCUAUUGUCGACAUGGCUGGGAGAACCUAUUCAAGUGCCUGAGAACUAGGACCGCGCCAAGGGUUAACCUAAUGUAUGUUGUCUCUUCGUGUGCAGAUACCUUGUAAAUGGAGAUUCCUUCAAAACGAUUGCCUACAGUUAACAUGUAGAGCACUGCAAGGUUGGGUGACCAGGGCCACCAGGGACUGCCUCCUGGAAGAAUUCAGGUGUGUGAAGUCUACCUGUGUCCUGCAUAACUUCAUGAGGAUGGACACGAGGACCAGGAGGGGAUCUGCAGCUCGCCGCCAUGUGCCAGAGGGGAAGUCUGCUGCUCUGCAGUAUGUUUCAAGGAUGGGGUCCAACAACGCAGCAAGAGAGGCAAUCUGUGUGCGGGAGAUCUUCACUUCCUACUUCUACUAAGAGGGUGCUGUUCCCUGACAAUGCCUAGACUACACUAUGCACAACCAAAGGCUAUUUUAACAGCCAUUCACAUUGCAAUAAGAGUAUUCUUCCAUUUACUUAGCUAUGUCAACUGCAGUUAUUCAAUUCCCACUUUCUCUCCCUUUGAUUUCAACUUCUCAGGUGAGGGUGCUGUUUAGGUAAGUGUGUGAUGCCUGUACAAAAACAAAACAGGCUAGUUUAAAUCAACCAUAUUGAAAAAAUGUAGAACAAUUAGACACCCUAUAGCCCAAACGCAUGUAUCAAUCUGAUUGAUGUGUUGUGCAGUAAGCAGGCUCAGGUGUGUAACUGGCUCCUUCCACCUUCAAAAAAUAGGCAAGGCCAACCAUGUGUAACAGAUGUGAAACGGCUAGCUUAGUUAGCGUGGGCGCUAAAUAGCGUUUCAAUCAGUGACGUCACUUGCAAGGGCCGCGGCUUUUGUGGAGCGAUGGGUAACGACGCUUCGUAGG